UUCAGUCUUCAUACUGAUUUCAAACUGAAACCACUUUGUGUUCUCCAAAUAAAAACUGAUUUAUCAAAAUAUGAAUAGAAAAACGAAGCCAUCUGGAAGUGCGUUUGAAAAAAUUCGUGAGGCGAAAGAAGCUGAGGCUGUUAGUAAUUCAAAACCUAUAAACACUUUUUUCACUCGAAAAAAUGUUGAACAAAACGUUCAGGCUGAUGGAAACGAGACAGAAGUGGCAGAAGCAGCAUGCUUAUAUCGAGCUGAGGAACAAGAUCCACAGAUGAUGCAAUCAAUUAGGAACGCGAUGAUAUUGAUUUGUCGGAUGUUGCGAAUUUCCCAGUUGUAUUAAGUGAAAAUCUACGAUCAAAAAUCAUUCAAAAAGGGCCCAUUCAAAUCGAUAUUAGAUUUCCAGCAAAAAUGGGUCGUUCAUUCUCAACCAAAUAUUAUAUGAAAAAGUUGCAAAAUGGAGAAAAUAUCAAACGGGAUAGGUUGGUAUAUUCAAAGAAAUUAAAAUUAUAUAAAAAGGGCGCAAUCGAAAUUUCGCACGAGGGCGCAAAAAGACGAAAAAAGGCACUGCAUCGAACGUCAUCCAUGAAGAAUUGCGAUAAAAUGUAAAAAUGUCCAAACUGACGGUGAAUAAUUAAUUACAACCAGUAAAUUGCUUAAGUUCUGAUGGAAAGUUGAAAUGGCAAUAAAGUAAUAACUUCUAAAUUAUUAUUUCAAAUCAAAUCUCCAAACACUAGAGGAUAGACAAAAUUUUCGAAAAAAUCAAAUAUAUCAC